GAGGCACCCAUGGUAAUCACCAUAACAGUAAUGAAAAUUUAUAGAUGCACAGAAUCUUAGACAAAACAUAUUUAGCAGAUGUCCUAUUGAAGCAUGGAUCACAAGAUUUCUCCUUAUUGAACUUAGAAUGACAUGACAUAGCAAUUAUUUUGUUUAAGGUUUAAAAUAACUAUAUUUGUUGCAUUCAUUGAAGUAUAGAAAGACAUAGGUGCAACUUGCAACC
rnacentral:lncRNA from 1 species